rnacentral:rRNA from 1 species
AUUGAACGCUGGCGGCAUGCCUUACACAUGCAAGUCGAACGGUAGAGGGGGCAACCCCUUGAGAGUGGCGAACGGGUGAGUAAUGCAUCGGAACGUGCCCAGUUGUGGGGGAUAACGUAGCGAAAGCUACGCUAAUAACGCAUACGACCUGAGGGUGAAAGCGGGGGACUCGAAAGAGCCUCGGCCGAUUGGAGCGGCCGAUGUCAGAUUAGCUAGUUGGUGGGGUAAAGGCCCACCAAGGCGACGAUCUGUAGCUGGUCUGAGAGGACGACCAGCCACACUGGGACUGAGACACGGCCCAGACUCCUACGGGAGGCAGCAGUGGGGAAUUUUGGACAAUGGACGAAAGUCUGAUCCAGCCAUGCCGCGUGCGGGAAGAAGGCCUUCGGGUUGUAAACCGCUUUUGUCAGGGAAGAAAUCUUCUGGGUUAAUACCUCGGGAGGAUGACGGUACCUGAAGAAUAAGCACCGGCUAACUACGUGCCAGCCGCCGCCGUAAUAC